CCCCUAUGUCAGUCUCUGUUGCAAAGGCCUAUAGGUACAACAGUGGAAAACAAAAAUCCAGCCAAAAUCACUGUUCUCAUGGAGCUUACAUUCUAGUGGGAGAUCAAAUCCAGGAAGAAGUGAUCUCAUAUGGGUAUUAAAGCAAAGGAUGACUUCAGAAGGUUGGGGGCCUAAGGACAUUCAGAUGCAAAAGUUAAGACAAGAAGAAGAAAGGGGAAGAAGAAAAGAACAAGGAGAUGGAGUGAAACAAUCACAGAACUCAGUGUUGGAAACUUAGAGAUCACCUGGUUUGAAUUUUACCUGUGUUGUGAAUCCCUGCUGUGCUGCCCUUCUUCUGUUGACCUGAAAACUUUCAGUUAAGCUUUGACUCAUUUUUGCUAUUGAGGCCCAUAGAAUAAGCCUUAACUACACCAGCUUUCAGGAAAAAGGACCGUGAUCUAUAAAGCUGGAAGAAACAAGCACACAUAUUUGAAAACAACUUUAAAAUAUGCUCACUUAAAAUUUGCUUUUUAAAUAUUUUUUCAAGUAGGUUCAAAAAUAUUAAGUUCAGAGUGAUCUUAUCUUGAUAAAGGAGGGAUAUGUUAUAAAUAUAUAUGAAAAGAAAGUCCAGAAAGAUGUACAUACUAAUGCCAAAUAUCUGCAUGAUGAAGUUAUGG